rnacentral:rRNA from 1 species
AUGGAUUGAGAGCUUGCUCUCAAGAAGUUAGCGGCGGACGGGUGAGUAACACGUGGGUAACCUGCCCAUAAGACUGGGAUAACUCCGGGAAACCGGGGCUAAUACCGGAUAAUAUUUUGAACUGCAUGGUUCGAAAUUGAAAGGCGGCUUCGGCUGUCACUUAUGGAUGGACCCGCGUCGCAUUAGCUAGUUGGUGAGGUAACGGCUCACCAAGGCAACGAUGCGUAGCCGACCUGAGAGGGUGAUCGGCCACACUGGGACUGAGACACGGCCCAGACUCCUACGGGAGGCAGCAGUAGGGAAUCUUCCGCAAUGGACGAAAGUCUGACGGAGCAACGCCGCGUGAGUGAUGAAGGCUUUCGGGUCGUAAAACUCUGUUGUUAGGGAAGAACAAGUGCUAGUUGAAUAAGCUGGCACCUUGACGGUACCUAACCAGAAAGCCACGGCUAACUACGUGCCAGCAGCCGCGGUAAUACGUAGGUGGCAAGCGUUAUCCGGAAUUAUUGGGCGUAAAGCGCGCGCAGGUGGUUUCUUAAGUCUGAUGUGAAAGCCCACGGCUCAACCGUGGAGGGUCAUUGGAAACUGGGAGACUUGAGUGCAGAAGAGGAA